GGCUCGAGAGUGUGAGGAAAGCAAAAAGAUGUCACGAGACUCAAAGAAGCAAGAUAAGCUGCAGAAGAAGAAGAAGAAUGGCUGCCCGGUGAAGUUUAAGCUACCCGCAAAAGAACAGCAGCAGGAAACCAAAAGCCCAGAGGUCCGGAUGAAGAGCAAAACAACAGCAGCAAAACAACAGCAGCAAGAAACCAAAAUCCCAGAGGUCCCGAGUAAACAUGAGAGGAUCUUGGACCUGAGGUUUAACAUCUAUGAGUCUUCACAGAAGAGGAUCAGACAUAUUCUGUCAUCCUGGGACAGGGCUCAGGGUAUCAUGAACCAAGUGCCAGACAAGUCCCAGUCUUCUCCUAAACACAAAGACGAGAAGAAGAGCAGUAGGUCUCCGGAGAAAACAGAGAAGCCUCUAGAAAAACAUGGCAGCCACAAGAGUCUUCAGUGGGACGGGGAAGUUGCAGAAGGCUCAGUCAGAAGCCAGGAUGCCGGAGUGCCCUGCUUGGACUUCCACAUCACGCGUCGUGAAAAGAUGUUUAGGAGGAUCCUGAAGAGCAAGAAGCUGCCACCACCAAAGCAGAUCCUGCACUCUCUGGGACUGGGACCUCCCAUUCCCCCUGGCUCUCUUUUCUCCGUGGUCCCCUACCCAGAGGAGGACAGAGUCUCCACAGCAGCACAAGACCUCAGAUACUUCAUCCUUGUUGAACCUGAGGGUGCUGCUGCAGAAGAUGAUGUGGCCCCAGAGGCAGAGGCACAGGACCACUUGAAGGAGGGGAAAGCCACAAGCAGAC
rnacentral:lncRNA from 1 species